GUACAGUUCAAGAUGUCUCCACCGUCCUGCCUCUCACUGCUGACAGUAACACUAAUCGCCUUUCUUCCAAAUGGAGCAGUAGUCCACUGACUGGUGGCAGCAUCUUUGGUAUCACUCUGGCUGUGGUGUUGGUGGCAGCCAUUUUUGGAUACACAGCUUACACCUACUUGAAGAAGAAACCAAAACUUGCUGGAUACGGCAGCACUCUCCACUUCCAGAAUGCUCUGUAUUCCACUAGAGAAAACAUAAGCAUCACAGAGCCACUGGGUGCCGAGGCCACCAUUGAUAUAGAAGACGGUAGUGUUCGUACACAUGAAUAAGAAGCAAGCCAACAGUGUCCAGUUAUCAUUCCAUCAGAUUUUUGUUUACAAAUACUUUAAUGGAUAUAGAAAAAAGUAAUGAUUUAACACAA